AGGUCACUGCUAUCGGUGUUCGAUUAAGCCAUGCGAGUCGUGAGGGGUAAAGCCCUCGGCGGAGUGCUCAGUAACACGUGGACAACCUACCCAAGAGUCAGGGAUAACCCCGGGAAACUGGGGAUAAUACCUGAUAGGCCAUGACAUCUGGAAUCGAGUUGUGGUUUAAACGUAAGGCUCUUGGAUGGGUCUGCGGCGGAUUAGGUUGUUGCCGGUGUAACGUACCAGCAAGCCUGUAAUCCGUACGGGUUGUGGGAGCAAGAGCCCGGAGAUGGAUUCUGAGACACGAAUCCAGGCCCUACGGGGCGCAGCAGGCGCGAAAACUCUACAAUGCAGGCAACUGCGAUAGGGGAACAUCGAGUGGCAUCCACCAUGGAUGUCUGUCCAAUCGUCUAAGAAACGACUGUCAGCAAGGGCCGGGCAAGACCGGUGCCAGCCGCCGCGGUAAUACCGGCGGCUCGAGCGGUGGCCGAUAUUAUUGAGUCUAAAGGGUCCGUAGCCGGCUUUGCAAGUCCUAUGGGAAAUCCAGCGGCUUAACCGUUGGGCUUUCAUGGGAUACUACAUUGCUUGGGACUGGGAGAGGUAGGAGGUACUCAGGGGGUAGGGGUGGAAUCCUGUAAUCCUUUGGGGACCACCGGUGGCGAAGGCGUCCUACCAGAACAGGUCCGACGGUGAGGGACGAAAGCUAGGGGCACGAACCGGAUUAGAUACCCGGGUAGUCCUAGCCGUAAACGAUGCUCGCUAGGUGUCACGGCAGUCGUGAAUUGUCGUGGUGCCGUAGGGAAGCCGUGAAGCGAGCCACUUGGGAAGUACGACCGCAAGGUUGAAACUUAA
rnacentral:rRNA from 1 species